GCUAGAUUAGGUUGCCGCGUGAUUUUUUUCCUAGCACAUGGUCAGGUUCUUUUUUUUGCGAUACAUGGUCAGGUUCUUGGCUACAUCAAUUAGCUAGCAAGAUCCAUUAUCUAGGUCCGUGGCUCUAUGAUUGUUUGAGUAGCACAUGCUCAAGUUGUUGGCUUGCUUGGUCUAAUUUGACUCUAUAUUAUGGACAUGUACCAGAGAAGAUACGUGACUUGAAGUUGAUAUUUGGCAUGAUGGCAUCGACACUUGAGUGUUGAGCUUUCUAAUUAUCAUUGAUCAUGGAGGAAUACAAACUGACAAAUACAAGAGCCAGGUGAACAUUAUUCCUAACUGAGCAUUUUUUAACUUAUUUUCUCCCUUUUUGGAUUUUCUUCUCAAAUGUUAUUUAUUUCUCUGUAAUGAAGCACUUUUACUAUUGAAUGCAAAGUUAGUUGAUGUAAAGGAUCUUAUUUUCCCCUUUGGGGUCGACGGUGUACUACAAAAUUGCUCUAGAAUAUUGCUGGAAUAGUUCUUAUUGUUAUAUAAGAAGUGCAGAUUCAGCGACAUGUUUUAGCAGUCUGUGGUCUAACAUGUUUUUGAAAUCUAAAUGUUUCUUCUUUGUGGUGUUCUUUAGGUGAGCAACAGUGUUUUAGCAGUCCAAUUAUGUAGUAGCCUAUACAAGUUCUAUAGAUCAGCAGAAGGUUAUGAAUUUAAUGCUUUGGCAUGUUACUGCUAAUAGGAAAUGCAUACGGUGAGAUUUACUUUUCCCAACUUCCUUUGCAUCUUCGCAUAUAAAUGAAUAUGGAGUAUUUUUUUUUCAACGUGCAUCAAUUAAAUUUGCAAGUUAAUCAAGUUUUCAAUUUAUUCGCAAAAGAAAAAUUUGAAAUUGUUGCCAAACAGAGGAUAGGCUUGGGUACCUUUCAUUUCACUGCUGGACAUGAUGCACAUUCCAUUAGAGCAUAUCUACAAAUAAUUUCAGGCUACUGUUUGUGUUUCCCGUUAAUUUCAGGUGCUCACGUGAUGGUGCUCACAGGUGCGGUAUUGCAAUGGUCAGCGGCAACAUUACAUGCCGUGUGCAGAUCAAAAAUCUCCAGCACCUAUCAGUUGGUUCCCUCGAGCCCCAGAGAUUAAUUGAGACUAGAGCUAUGAAGUGUUCUCUUUUAUUUCUUGGUCAGAUUGUUGGAUGUCAGGUAAUAUAAUUUUUCUAUUUCAUCGAUUGUUAUGCUUGUUUUCCUAUAAUGAAGUUGAUCAAACAUAUGCCUUAAUAUAAUUUUUCUGCGUGAGUAAUUUUUUGCCUUUGGAUAACUUAUAUUUGGUACCAAAUUAAAGUUUUGCUUUACUUUCAGCGGUCGUAUUUGAGAAUAUUGGUGUGCUUUACUUCCAGUCAUUAUAGUUGUUGAUCUUCAAUAUGA